rnacentral:rRNA from 1 species
UGCUUGGGAAUCUGCCCGGUAGUGGGGGACAACAGUUGGAAACGACUGCUAAUACCGCAUACGACCUACGGGUGAAAGCAGGGGAUCUUCGGACCUUGCGCUAUCGGAUGAGCCCAAGUCGGAUUAGCUAGUUGGUGAGGUAAGAGCUCACCAAGGCGACGAUCCGUAGCUGGUUUGAGAGGAUGAUCAGCCACACUGGGACUGAGACACGGCCCAGACUCCUACGGGAGGCAGCAGUGGGGAAUAUUGCACAAUGGGGGAAACCCUGAUGCAGCCAUGCCGCGUGUGUGAAGAAGGCCC